CCUACGGGAGGCAGCAGUCGAGAAUCAUUCACAAUGGGGGAAACCCUGAUGGUGCGACGCCGCGUGGGGGAAUGAAGGUCUUCUGAUUGUAAACCCCUGUCAUGUGGGAGCAAAUUAAAAAGAUAGUACCACAAGAGGAAGAGACGGCUAACUCUGUGCCAGCAGCCGCGGUAAUACAGAGGUCUCAAGCGUUGUUCGGAAUCACUGGGCGUAAAGCGUGCGUAGGCUGUUUCGUAAGUCGUGUGUGAAAGGCGCGGGCUCAACCCGCGGACGGCACAUGAUACUGCGAGACUAGAGUAAGGGAGAGGGAACCGGAAUUCUCGGUGUAGCAGUGAAAUGCGUAGAUAUCGAGAGGAACACUCGUGGCGAAGGCGGGUUCCUGGACAUUAACUGACGCUGAGGCACGAAGGCCAGGGGAGCGAAAGGGAUUAGAUACCCCAGUAGUC
rnacentral:rRNA from 1 species